ACUGGCACAAUGAUGACUUACAUUUUUGCCGUUUACCCAGCUGAGGGUUGCUUUGAAGAAAUGAUUUUGACUGAGAUGCCAGU
rnacentral:snoRNA from 1 species